GACGAACGCUGGCGGCGUGCUUAACACAUGCAAGUCGAACGAGUGGCGAACGGGUGAGUAAUACGUGAGUAAACUGCCCUAUUGUUGGGGUAAGCCUUGGAAACGGGGUCUAAUACCGGCUAAAGGGGGAUGGGCUCGCGGCCUAUCAGCUUGUUGGUGGGGUGAGUGCCCACCAAGGCGGUGACGGGUAGCCGGCCUGAGAGGGUGACCGGCCACAUUGAGACUGAGAUACGGCCUAGACUACGACGGGGGGCAGCAGUGGGGGCUAUUGCACAAUGGGUGAUAGCCUCAUGCAGCGAGGCCGCGGGGGGGAUGAAGGCUUUCGGGUUGUAAACCUCAUUCGCUAGCGAACGGGUAGGUGGAGAAGAAGCGCCGGCUAACUACGUGCCAGCAGCCGCGGUAAUUC
rnacentral:rRNA from 1 species